UACGUAGGGACCAAGCGUUGUCCGGAAUCAUUGGGCGUAAAGAGCGUGUAGGCGGCUUGUUAAGUCUUGCGUGAAAUCUCGGGGCUCAACCCCGAGCGGUCGUGAGAAACUGGCAGGCUAGAGUGCGGGAGAGGAGAGUGGAAUUCCUGGUGUAGCGGUGAAAUGCGUAGAUAUCGGGAGGAACACCUGCGGCGAAGGCGGGUUGCUGGGCUGACACUGACGCUGAGGAACGAAAGCUAGGGGAGCAAACAGG
rnacentral:rRNA from 1 species